GGCCCCAUAGCUCAGUUGACUAGAGCGUCUGCUGUACUAAAGCCCUCCCCUUGCUGGUAUGGGUUCGAAUCCCAACGAGGCCG
rfam:Schistocephalus solidus strain NST_G2 genome assembly, scaffold: SSLN_scaffold0004450